UACCCGCAGCUCAAGUGGUGGUCAUUAUUAUUGGGCCUAAAGCGUCCGUAGCAGGCUUGUUAGAUGCCUGGGUAAAUCGAUGCGCUUAACGCAUCGAAUUCCGGGUAGACCGGCAAGCUCGAGACCGGGAGGGGCGUGAGCUACUCGAGGGGUAGGGGUAAAAUCCUGUAAUCCUUCGGGGAGGACCAGUGGCGAAGGCGUCACGCUAGAACGGCUCUGACUGUGAGGGACGAAGCCCUGGGGCGCAAACCGG
rnacentral:rRNA from 1 species